CCUACGGGUGGCAGCAGCGGGGAAUAUUGGACAAUGGGGGGAACCCUGAUCCAGCCAUGCCGCGUGUGUGAAGAAGGCCCUCGGGUUGUAAAGCACUUUCAGUGAGGAAGAACGCCUGGUGGUUAAUACCCAUCAGGAAAGACAUCACUCACAGAAGAAGCACCGGCUAACUCCGUGCCAGCAGCCGCGGUAAUACGGAGGGUGCGAGCGUUAAUCGGAAUUACUGGGCGUAAAGCGCGCGUAGGUGGCUUGAUAAGCCGGUUGUGAAAGCCCCGGGCUCAACCUGGGAACGGCAUCCGGAACUGUCAAGCUAGAGUGCAGGAGAGGAAGGUAGAAUUCCCGGUGUAGCGGUGAAAUGCGUAGAGAUCGGGAGGAAUACCAGUGGCGAAGGCGGCCUUCUGGACUGACACUGACACUGAGGUGCGAAAGCGUGGGUAGCAAACAGGAUUAGAUACCCUAGUAGUC
rnacentral:rRNA from 1 species